GGAAAAGACAUAUUGCUACGCAGUAUUAUGGCCACUUGAGAGCCACCCUGCUGUCCCAGGAGAAGAGGAAGUCCCUUAGAUGUCUUUACCUGAUUGCACCUGAGCUUGUCAGAGUCCUUCCUUCCUGUUGCUACCACAUCUGCUGUAAUAUCUGCUGCCUGCAAUGGCUCUUUUGAUCUUCUGAAACCCCCCAAAUUUGCCAUGUUAGAAACGUGCUACAGAGGUUUUAACAUCUCCACUGCAGUUCAUCCUCUGAGCACUUUCAAUCACAGAAAUGCUAAAGCUGGAAAAAAUCAGAAGGUCAUUGAAAAAGGCAUAUCUUCAAGACUAUGAAAAUGAUUUGAUCUAGGCUCAGGUUCUGGGUCACAUAAGACUUUCUGGUGGAUAUUUUAAGGAAAUAGAAAAUAAUCAAAAGGAUGAAGAGCAUAUAUUUCAAUGCAGAAGAUAACCA
rnacentral:lncRNA from 1 species